rnacentral:rRNA from 1 species
AAUGAACGCUGGCGGCGUGCUUAACACAUGCAAGUCGCACGAGAACGUUUCAGCUUGCUGAGACUAGUACAGUGGCGCACGGGUGAGUAACGCGUGGGUAAUCUACCUCCGAAUUGGGGAUAACAUUGCGAAAGCGGUGCUAAUACCGAAUAAUAUCCCCGGGACCCCGGUCUUGGUGAUCAAAGGUGGCCUCUACAUGUAAGCUACCGUUUGGAGAUGAGCCCGCGUACCAUUAGCUAGUUGGUAGGGUAAUGGCCUACCAAGGCUUCGAUGGUUAGCUGGUCUGAGAGGAUGAUCAGCCACACUGGAACUGACACACGGUCCAGACUCCUACGGGAGGCAGCUGUGAGGAAUUUUGCGCAAUGGGGGAAACCCUGACGCAGCAACGCCGCGUGAGUGAUGAAGGCCUUCGGGUCGUAAAGCUCUGUCAAGUGGGAAGAACCUGCUUUGUGAUAAUACCACGAGGCACUGACGGUACCACUGAAGGAAGCACCGGCUAACUCCGUGCCAGCAGCCGCCGUAAAAC